UUGUGAUGUUGGUAAUUCAUGUUCAUUUUAUUCCAUCUAUUUCUACAACAUAAGCUAUUAAGAACAAUUAAAAACAAUUCCAUUAUUGAUGGAUAUUGCCCACUUACAAGGAAUAAAAACAAUGUUAUUUCUUACAAUAUAAGCAAUUAAGAACAAUGUUAUUUGUAUCAACUUUAAAAAGCAAUUUGUUAAACCAUAAUAUCUCAUCGUGAAUAUCAUCUUGAUAUCUAAGUAUGUAACAUUCAUCCAAUAAGUAAAACACUAUAUAUCACAAUGUCAAAAGACUGCAACUUCACUUAUAUCUAUAUCUUGUGCCAAAGGACCUACAAAGUUAUGCUAUAAGAUGUGAGGACCUACCAAUCAUUUGGUAUUUUCCUCUAGUAGAAAUAAAGAAAAGCUUUUAUAACCACUAAGUGGUAACAACUACACACAUAGUUAUCAAACAUCAAGCUACCAAGCAUAUGCAAUCGCACCAAGCAUAGUCCUUCUCAUAUAUAUGCAAUCAGAUUAAAAUGGACUUGAAAAUCAAUGGAAUAUUUAAUAACAUCAUCAUGGUUUAAAUUCUCUUAUCCAAACAAAGGAAGCUACUAUUUUGUUCCUUUUGCUUAGAUUUGCCUUCGGGUUAGUGUCUUUGUUACUGAAAUAUAGGGCAAGCCUUAAGGGUGGGUCAUGUUAAAUAAAGAAAACUUUGAUUGACGGAACAUGGUGUUCAUGAAGAUAUAAAAAAGCAAAUGCACAAGUAAGAAAACAGUCCAUCUUAGUGAGUAGUGAGUAGUGACUAGUGAGAGCAUAAGUAAGAAAGUAGUUCAUUGUAGUGAGUAGUAAGCGCAUAUUCUUUAAAAUCAGUCGCAAAAUACAUGUAACAUACACUCUUAACAUUGUAUUACUCCACUCAACUUAAAAUAUAUGAAAUCAAAGUCAAGUAGUUUUUAGUAUGUAAAUAGUCUUUACCUAUGUAAAAUUACAUCUCUUGUUUUCUUAAUUUACCAUCAAUUGGUAAAAAAUAUAUGAUAUGUUGGACAAUGUCACAAGAAGCAUAUCUAAUGUUGCUUCUACUGUCGCUUCUUUACUUUGUGCCAACAAUUUCAUAUGGCAAGUGGAUAACGGAAAAAACCCAAUCAAUUAAGAGGGAAAAAGAAAGGUGGGUAUAGUUUGAUAAAAUUGGAUUAUAAUGUAUAGACCUUAGUACCUUACAAAGUUACAACUAGAGAUAUUAUAGUCAUGAAUUAAGGUUAGUGCUGCUUACUAACCCACCACUUCAAGUGCCAAGCUUAUCCACUUGGUUGCAGAAAGAUAUACAAAAAUAUCCAAUUAUCAUUACAAUAGUUAGAUAUUAGAUGCACUAGUUAGAUAUAAAGAUUGGAAGGCAUUAAAAUAUUAGAUGAUACCAUUACAAUAUUACACACACUCUCUCUGCUUUGAAGUAUCUUCAUUGCAUAAGGUAAUGGUGGAUGAUUGAAGAUGCUAUGUUAUGGUAUUACCUAAAUUAGUAAAUUAGGUUUUUCUCCCUUAAUGAGUAAGAGUGCAGUAUUACCUCAAAACCUGCUGAUCUGGAAAUGGAAGAAGAGAAUCACAAAACCGGUGGAAGGGAAUGAAAAGGAAUGAACAGAACUAGUGGAAGGGAUUGGAAUCGAGAUGAUGCACGUGUGGAAGGGACUAGACGGAGAUGAAGCACCAGUGGAAGCCUCGAUCUGGAAAAGAAGUGAAGAAAGUGUGAACCGUGUAGAUGAUUGACCUUGAACAAUUGAAGGAGAAAAUUAAAGGUGGGUUGAAGAAGGGUUGAUGAAGUGUGUAGAUGAUGGAGAUGAAUCAUGUAUGAAAAUUGAGAAGUUAAAACUUAAAACUUAAAACCCUCUUCCCUUAAAC
rnacentral:lncRNA from 1 species